UCUAGAGUUUGAUCUUGGGUCAGAGUGAACGCUGGCGGCAGGCGUAACACAUGCAAGUCGAGAGGCAGCACGGGUAGUUGUACUUUGUGGCGAGCGGCGGACGGGUGAGUAAUGCCUAGGAAUCUGCCUGGUAGUGGGGGAUAACGCUCGGAAACGGACGCUAAUACCGCAUACGUCCUACGGGAGAAAGCAGGGGACCUUCGGGCCUUGCGCUAUCAGAUGAGCCUAGGUCGGAUUAGCUAGUUGGUGAGGUAAUGGCUCACCAAGGCGACGAUCCGUAACUGGUCUGAGAGGAUGAUCAGUCACACUGGAAUUGAGACACGGUCCAGACUCCUACGGGAGGCAGCAGUGGGGAAUAUUGGACAAUGGGCGAAAGCCUGAUCCAGCCAUGCCGCGUGUGUGAAGAAGGUCUUCGGAUUGUAAAGCACUUUAAGUUGGGAGGAAGGGCAGUUACCUAAUACGUAGUUGUUUUGACGUUACCGACAGAAUAAGCACCGGCUAACUCUGUGCCAGCAGCCGCGGUAAUACAGAGGGUGCAAGCGUUAAUCGGAAUUACUGGGCGUAAAGCGCGCGUAGGUGGUUUGUUAAGUUGGAUGUGAAAUCCCCGGGCUCAACCUGGGAACUGCAUUCAAAACUGUCGAGCUAGAGUAUGGUAGAGGGUGGUGGAAUUUCCUGUGUAGCGGUGAAAUGCGUAGAUAUAGGAAGGAACACCAGUGGCGAAGGCGACCAUCCGGACUGUUACGACACGAGGUGCGAAAGCGGACCAAACC
rnacentral:rRNA from 1 species